UACGGGGGGUGCGAGCGUUGUCCGGAAUCACUGGGCGUAAAGGGCGCGUAGGUGGUCUGAUAAGGGUGUGGUGAAAGCCCGGGGCUCAACCCCGGGUCGGCCGUGCCGACUGUUAGACUAGAGUGCUGUAGGGGCAGGCGGAAUUCCGGGUGUAGCGGUGGAAUGCGUAGAGAUCCGGAGGAAGACCGGUGGCGAAGGCGGCCUGCUGGGCAGUUACUGGACACUGAGGCGCGACAGCGUGGGGAGCAAACAGG
rnacentral:rRNA from 1 species